rnacentral:ncRNA from 11 species
CCGGAGUAGCUCAGUUGGGAGAGCGUUAGACUGAAGAUCUAAAUGUCCCCGGUUCGAUCCCGGGUUCCGGCA